CUUUAUUGGAGAGUUUGAUCCUGGCUCAGGACGAACGCUGGCGGCGUGCCUAAUACAUGCAAGUCGAGCGGACCUGAUGGAGUGCUUGCACUCCUGAUGGUUAGCGGCGGACGGGUGAGUAACACGUAGGCAACCUGCCCUCAAGACUGGGAUAACUACCGGAAACGGUAGCUAAUACCAGAUAAUUUAUUUCACAGCAUU
rnacentral:rRNA from 1 species